rnacentral:rRNA from 1 species
GUAACGCGUGGCAACCUGCCUUACACAGGGGGAUAACACUUAGAAAUAGGUGCUAAUACCGCAUAAGCGCACAGCUUUGCAUGAAGCAGUGUGAAAAACUCCGGUGGUGUAAGAUGGACCCGCGUCUGAUUAGCUGGUUGGCAGGGUAAAGGCCUACCAAGGCGACGAUCAGUAGCCGGCCUGAGAGGGUGAACGGCCACAUUGGGACUGAGACACGGCCCAGACUCCUACGGGAGGCAGCAG